rnacentral:tRNA from 1 species
GGAGAGGUGUCCGAGUGGUCGAAGGUGCCUGACUCGAAAUCAGGUGUACGGCAACGUACCUAGGGUUCGAAUCCCUACCUCUCCGCCA